GAUGAACGCUAGCGACAGGCCUAACACAUGCAAGUCGAGGGGCAGCAUGAAAUUAGCUUGCUAAUUUUGAUGGCGACCGGCGCACGGGUGAGUAACACGUAUGCAACCUGCCUGUAAGCGGGGGAUAACCCGGAGAAAUUCGGACUAAUACCGCAUAAUAUCAUUGAUUCGCAUGUUUCAAUGAUUAAAAAUUUAUUGCUUACAGAUGGGCAUGCGUAUGAUUAGCUAGUUGGCGGGGUAACGGCCCACCAAGGCGACGAUCAUUAGAGGUUCUGAGAGGAAGGUCCCCCACAUUGGAACUGAGACACGGUCCAAACUCCUACGGGAGGCAGCAGUGAGGAAUAUUGGUCAAUGGACGAGAGUCUGAACCAGCCAUGUCGCGUGAAGGAUGACUGUCCUAUGGAUUGUAAACUUCUUUUAUAUGGGGAUAAAGUGUGAGACUUGUCUCAUUUUGCAUGUACCAUAUGAAUAAGCAUCGGCUAACUCCGUGCCAGCCGCCGCGGUAAGAC
rnacentral:rRNA from 1 species